ACGCCAGACUCCUACGGGAGGCAGCAGUGGGGAAUAUUGGGCAAUGGGCGCAAGCCUGACCCAGCAACGCCGCGUGAAGGAAGAAGGCUUUCGGGUUGUAAACUUCUUUUCUCAGGGACGAAGAAAGUGACGGUACCUGAGGAAUAAGCCACGGCUAACUACGUGCCAGCAGCCGCGGUAAUACGUAGGUGGCAAGCGUUAUCCGGAUUUAUUGGGUGUAAAGGGUGCGUAGACGGGAAUUUAAGUUAGUUGUGAAAUCCCUCGGCUCAACUGAGGAACUGCAACUAAAACUGGAUUUCUUGAGUGCUGGAGAGGAAAGCGGAAUUCCUAGUGUAGCGGUGAAAUGCGUAGAUAUUAGGAGGAACACCAGUGGCGAAGGCGGCUUUCUGGACAGUAACUGACGUUGAGGCACGAAAGUGUGGGGAGCAAACAGGAUUAGAUACCCCGGUAA
rnacentral:rRNA from 1 species